rnacentral:rRNA from 1 species
CGCUGGCGGCGUGCUUAUCACAUGCAAGUCGAACGGGAUCUGUCGGAGCUUGCUCCGUCCGUGAGAGUGGCGAACGGGUGAGUAAUGCGUGACCGACCUGCCCCAUACACCGGAAUAGCUCCUGGAAACGGGUGGUAAUGCCGGAUGCUCCGACAUGACGCAUGUCGUGUCGGGAAAGAUUCAUCGGUAUGGGAUGGGGUCGCGUCCUAUCAGGUAGUCGGCGGGGUAACGGCCCACCGAGCCUACGACGGGUAGCCGGCCUGAGAGGGCGACCGGCCACAUUGGGACUGAGAUACGGCCCAGACUCCUACGGGAGGCAGCAGUGGGGAAUAUUGCACAAUGGGCGCAAGCCUGAUGCAGCGACGCCGCGUGCGGGAUGACGGCCUUCGGGUUGUAANCCGCUUUGACUGGGAGCAAGCCCUUCGGGGUGAGUGUACCUUUCGAAUAAGCACCGGCUAACUACGUGCCAGCAGCCGCGG